GAUGAUGUACACCACCUGUUGAUGAUGAUGUACACCACCUGUUGAUGAUGAUGUACACCACCUGUUGAUGAUGAUGUACACAGCUUGUUGAUGAUGAUGUACACAGCUUGUUGAUGAUGAUGUACACAGCUUGUUGAUGAUGAUGUACACAGCUUGUUGAUGAUGAUGUACACAGCUUGUUGAUGAUGAUGUACACAGCUUGUUGAUGAUGAUGUACACAGCUUGUUGAUGAUGAUGUACACAGCUUCUUGUUGAUGCUUCAGUGUGUUAUCUAUGCUGUUGCAUUUGUUGUUUCUAUUUGAUUAUGAAAACAUAAGGAAGCUAUUGUUCUUGAUCACCAUGGGUGUGUGGGACCUGUCUAAACGGUCUGUUCAGAAGCUUUGGAGAUUUCAAACACACACACACACACACACACACACACACACACACAAGCUAAUUGGUACACACACACUCACGCAUUUUAGGUACAACCACGCAACCUUUGCAUGCACACAGAUACUAAAAUCAAAGAGGCUAUCAGGGUGCUAACAGACUGGCAUGCUUCAGGACUCCCACUUAAGAAGGUAGGGAUGAAAAACAAUGAAGGAGAAGAGAAGGUGGUAGCAAGAAAGAAUGGAAGAUACUGUAAUUGGCGAAAAAGAUGAGCGACAGCAGGAGAGAUUAACUUGUUGAAUUGUUGCAAGAACAGUUGUUUGAGAGAGAGAAUAAUAAAAGGAAAAGUGAGAAAGAAGGCGUCCAUGCUUUUAGCCUGGAGUCUUAACUCAGUCCUAAACUACAACUCUUUCACCUUUAAAACUACAAUACCUAACUAUCAGGAAGAAGCAAGGGUACAUUGCUACAAUAUAAUCUUGGUUAUCAUUUUGGAAUAUUUUCGGUAAAAAUGUAUGUUGCUUUCAAUAUGGUUCUAAUUUAAAGCACUUUUGUUGUAAUGUGUGUUUUGAGUGUGUGUGAGCAUAUUGAAAAUAAUAAGCUUGGUAGGAAAACCAAUAGAGAAUGCUUCACACAUAUUUUAACAAUAGCGUUGCCAAAGUUUGCGCAUUAUGUACGCGUCAAGAGUUGUAACUUUUUACAUUUUUAAAGAAAAUUCCUUUUGUACUUGGCACUUUAUCUCCUUCUGAAGCUCUUAUCCAUAUUUAACUCCUGUGUUACUUUCUCAAUUUAAAACAUUUUUAAUAUCCAAAACAGCUAUACAAAAUGAUCUUCUAAUGAGUAUUAUAACGGUAACUAUGUCAGGAAAUUGAAGCGUUAUCAUUUUGUAUUUUCUUUUGUCAUUUGUUUUUUAUCGUUGUUGUUAUUGAUGGUCACUCUACUUCCUGGAAAAUGCAUUUCCUCCCCACAAACUUCCUGUUUCCUGUGGGCAGAUCUCAGGGACCCCGCCCCUCCCCCCCAAAACCAGGAAGUUGGCCUUAUUUGUUUGUUCUCUUCUGUUUGUUGUUGUUGAGAGGUCAGAUGGAUUUCAAGUGAGAAGUGUCAUAGUAGUGCUUUUAGAACCGUUGUAAUGUAUCUCUGAUGUUCCAUCCAGACCAAAGUAUAUAUUAUAUUCAUCUCCCGUUAAUAGAACACAGCCCACAUGCUAGAACACUCUAGAACCAACCAUUCCAAGCCAUGUUCCCUUUUCCAAGCCCACAAAGAUAUUUUGGAUGGACAUUUUACUCCAAACCUGUUUGUGGCAGUCUCCACAAGAUUGGUGGUCCUGUCUAUAAACUUACCACAACAAUGUAACGUUCAGUUACAAAGUUAUAUCAAACACUAUUUUCUAAUCAGUCAGUUUGUAUAUGCGUGUAUGUAGUUACUUGAGGUAUAUCAUUUUAUAUCAUUCUCAGUAUUGUUGAUGUGCUGCAGCGCUGUUGGUUUUACGGUCGUUAAGUACUGGCGUUCCAGUUUCACACCUUUUUUUAGUGUCCUCCAUCCCCUAGACAACACACCUAACAGUUCCCAUAGCAACUCUCAGUUCACAAUUCAAGCGCUACAAAGUUCUUCAAUCCAAAGAAAACAGUGAAGAGCAGGUUCUCCCAACACCCAUUUCUCCUGAGAUAUAUAUCGCCCCGUUUUUACUGGGUGUAACUUCAUCGUGCCAAAGCUAGUCCCUUCUGCAUGUUUAGUACUUUGUCUUGGUGUAACACGUACUUUGUCUUACAUUUGCAUGUUGAAACAAAAGUGUUGUGGUCUGUUUUGUAUCGUAUUGUAUCAUUGUAUUAUGCGUCUGUAGCACUUCUCAUGCUUUUGCACUUGACAAAGUCGAAUAAAGAGUUUGACAGC
rnacentral:lncRNA from 1 species